CCCUGGUGGCUCAGCUGGUAAAGAACCUGCCUGUGAUGCAGGAGACCCAGGUUCAAUCCCUGGAUCAGGAA
rnacentral:tRNA from 1 species